GGUGUUGUGGCUUAGCAGUGGAGCAUUUGCCUCGUAUGUAUGAGACUCUGGGUUCAAUCCUCAGCACCACCU
rnacentral:tRNA from 1 species